rnacentral:rRNA from 1 species
GUGGGGAAUUUUGGACAAUGGGGGCAACCCUGAUCCAGCCAUGCCGCGUGCGGGAAGAAGGCCUUCGGGUUGUAAACCGCUUUUGUCAGGGAAGAAAUCCUUUGGGUUAGUACCUCGGAGGGAUGACGGUACCUGAAGAAUAAGCACCGGCUAACUACGUGCCAGCAGCCGCGGUAAUACGUAGGGUGCGAGCGUUAAUCGGAAUUACUGGGCGUAAAGCGUGCGCAGGCGGUUUUGUAAGAUCGAUGUGAAAUCCCCGGGCUCAACCUGGGAACUGCAUUGGUGACUGCAAGGCUGGAGUGCGGCAGAGGGGGGUGGAAUUCCGCGUGUAGCAGUGAAAUGCGUAGAUAUGCGGAGGAACACCGAUGGCGAAGGCAAUCCCCUGGGCCUGCACUGACGCUCAUGCACGAAAGCGUGGGGAGCAAACAGGAUUAGAUACCCCGGUAGUCC